GUCCACGCCGUAAACGAUGAGUGCUAGGUGCUGUGGGUAUUGACCCCCGCGGUGCCGCAGCUAACGCGUUAAGCACUCCGCCUGGGGAGUACGGCCGCAAGGCUAAAACUCAAAGGAAUUGACGGGGGCCCGCACAAGCGGUGGAGCAUGUGGUUCAAUUCGACGCAACGCGCAGAACCUUACCUGGGUUAAAUCCACUCGAACCUUGUAGAGAUAUAGGGGUGCUCUUCGGAGAGCGAGUGAGAAGGUGCUGCAUGGCUGUCGU
rnacentral:rRNA from 1 species